AAUUGUUCCACGAUCGGGAGUAUCAUGCAAAGUGUUAUUUGGACUAGUCAUAUUUAAGAUAUAAUUAAAGUAUUUUCGCGAGUGAAUAUAAGUGCCAUGAAGAAAUAAUAAAAGAUAAACAAGAAAGAAGAAAAGGAUUCAGGAAAAUACCAGAUGACGAACGAAGCAACAGUACAUAUAGUGAUCGACGCAACAACUCCGAUGAUCUGAGAGGAGGCCUAGGAGAGGCAUCGGGCAUCAGCGGAGCAACUAUAAAACAACGUAGCUUCUUAAUAUCAACAA